rnacentral:rRNA from 1 species
CCAAUCGGGUUUCGGCCCGUAAAUUGGUGACUCUGAAUAACUGUAGCUGAUCGCAUGGUCCAGAACCGGCGACGUGUCUAUCAAGUGUCUGCCUUAUCAACUGUCGAUGGUAGUUUAUGUGCCUACCAUGGUUGUAACGGGUAACGGAGAAUAAGGGUUCGACUCCGGAGAGGGAGCCUGAGAAACGGCUACCACAUCCAAGGAAGGCAGCAGGCGCGCAAAUUACCCACUCUCGGCAUGAGGAGGUAGUGACGAAAAAUAACGAGACCGUUCUCUAUGAGGCCGGUUAUCGGAAUGGGUACAAUUUAAACCCGUUAACGAGGAUCUAUGAGAGGGCAAGUCUGGUGCCAGCAGCCGCGGUAAUUCCAGCUCUCAAAGUGUAUAUCGUCAUUGCUGCGGUUAAAAAGCUCGUAGUUGGAUCUGCGCCUCAGGACUUGGUCCGCCCACUGGGCGAGAACUGGGCUCCUGGGCUAGUUCUGCUGGUUUUCCCUACGUUGCCUUCAUCGGUCGCGUAGGGUGGCUAGCGAGUUUACUUUGAAAAAAUUAGAGUGCUUCACGCGGGCUUAUGUCUGAAUACUCGUGCAUGGAAUAAUAGAAUAGGAUCUCGGUUCUAUUUUGUUGGUUUUCUGAUCUGAGAUAAUGGUUAAGAGGGACGGACGGGGGCAUUCGUAUCGCUGCGUGAGAGGUGAAAUUCUUGGACCGUAGCGAGACGUCCGACUGCGAAAGCAUUUGCCAAGAAUGUCUUCAUUAAUCAAGAACGAAAGUCAGAGGUUCGAAGGCGAUCAGAUACCGCCCUAGUUCUGACCGUAAACGAUACCAACUAGCGUUCCGUCGGCGGUAAAUACGCCUUGACGGGCAGCUUCCCGGAAACGAAAGUCUUUCGGUUCCGGGGGAAGUAUGGUUGCAAAGCUGAAACUUAAAGAAAUUGACGGAAGGGCACCACCAGGAGUGGAGCCUGCGGCUUAAUUUGACUCAACACGGGAAAACUCACCUGGCCCGGACACCGUGAGGAUUGACAGAUUGAGAGCUCUUUCUUGAUUCGGUGGUUGGUGGUGCAUGGCCGUUCUUAGUUGGUGGAGUGAUUUGUCUGGUUUAUUCCGAUAACGAGCGAGACUCUAGCCUACUAAAUAGUCAUCGGAUAAACAAGUGCGGAAGACUUCUUAGAGGGACAAGCGGUGUUCAGCCGCAUGAAGUUGAGCAAUAACAGGUCUGUGAUGCCCUUAGAUGUCCAGGGCUGCACGCGCGCUACACUGGAGGAAUCAGCGUGCUGUAACC